GCUGGGCACAGUGGCCUAUGCCUCUGGUCCCAGCUACCUCGGAGGCUUAGGCAAGAGGAUCACUUGAGUCCAAGAGUUCUGGGGUAUAGUGCAAUAUGCUAAUCAGGUGUCUGUACUAAGUUUGGCAUCAAUGUGGUGACCUCCCUGGAGUGGGGGGCCACUAGGUUGCCUAAGGAGGGGUGAACUGGCCCAGGUUGGAAAUGGAGCAGGUCAAAACUCCAGUGCUCCUGUGCUGAUCAGUAGUGGAAUCAUGCCUGUGAAUCGCCACUGCACUCCAGCCUGGGCAAAAUAACAAGACCCCAUCUCAA
ensembl:misc_RNA Metazoa_SRP Metazoan signal recognition particle RNA